CGUUGUGUUGUUUCGCUGCCGCUUCUGAUAAUGUUUAUUUAUUAUUUUGCAUCUCUGGUUUAUUUAUAUUUUUGUUUUCUUACUAGAAGCCGGUAUUUAUGUUUUGUUUUGAACGUUGAAAUAAGUGCUUUUACUUUCAUUCAGUGAUAUGUAUGUAUGUCACAUAAAAUUGACAAGCUUAAGGAGAAAUUUAUACAAUUCUAUUCUGUAUUUGCCGGAACAUAUGUAAAUGGAAAAUGGAUUUCAAAUUAUAUUCAAGAAACUUGUUGCAUCAAAAUUCAAAAAACUGCUUACUUCAUUCGUAUCUUCAAAGCGUGUAUGGACAUUUUAUUGUAAUUUGAGAAGUUUUUGCGAGUUCUUUUUCCCGGAAUGAAAAAUACAAAAAUUGUAGAGAUAAUGGAUAAAACGAAAUGCUACUGUCAUACAAAAAUGUGUAAAGAAGAAAAACAAACUGAUACAAGAAUACAUUCAAAAUUCCGAAAAUAUAAAAAUUAUUGAAAAUUUAUCAAACUUAAAAAACCUAUACAAAAUUAUGUUGGAUUAGUACCUUACAUGACAUCGUUUUUAAAAUCUUUCUUUAUGGAUAUUUUUUUUAUUCUAUAACCCUAGGUAUUCAAAGUGUUUUCAACCUAGAGUAAUAACAGCCUUUUGUUUGUUUGUUCAAAUCAAAUCGAAUCGAAAAUUCAACUUCUUAUUGUAAUUUAAAAAGAAUGAAAUCAAAGAACAAACAUUAUUGUGUUAACUUGUAUCUACAGUGUCAAGUGUGUUAUUCCUGUACCCAACAAUCAUAUAUUAUGUUAAAAACAUGACACUCAAAUUGGUUUUGAAAUGUGCAACGGAUAUGAUACCAUAUUUGCGAGUUUCUUCAAGGAUAGGCUUUUCGAUCCUGUUUUUUGGACACGCCUUCGCUCAGAUAUUAAUGAAGAAAGAGAAAAGACAAUUUUAUUGUCUGAAUAUUGACAAAAUAUUGGA